GACGAACGCUGGCGGCACGCUUAACACAUGCAAGUCGAACGAGAGAAGAGGUGCUUCGCUUUUUCCGAUCAGCGGCGGACGGGUGAGUAACACGUGAGCAAUCUGCCUUUCAGAGGGGGAUACCGAUUCGGAAACGAUCGUUAAUACCGCAUAACAUAAUCGAACCGCAUGAUUUGAUUAUCAAAGAUUUAUCGCUGAAAGAUGAGCUCGCGUCUGAUUAGCUAGUUGGUAAGGUAACGGCUUACCAAGGCGACGAUCAGUAGCCGGACUGAGAGGUUGAUCGGCCACAUUGGGACUGAGACACGGCCCAGACUCCUACGGGAGGCAGCAGUGGGGAAUAUUGCACAAUGGAGGAAACUCUGAUGCAGCGAUGCCGCGUGAGGGAAGAAGGUUUUAGGAUUGUAAACCUCUGUCUUCAGGGACGAAAAAAGACGGUACCUGAGGAGGAAGCUCCGGCUAACUACGUGCCAGCAGCCGCGGUAAUACGUAGGGAGCGAGCGUUGUCCGGAAUUACUGGGUGUAAAGGGAGCGUAGGCGGGAUCGCAAGUCAGAUGUGAAAACUAUGGGCUUAACCCAUAAACUGCAUUUGAAACUGUGGUUCUUGAGUGAAGUAGAGGUAAGCGGAAUUCCUAGUGUAGCGGUGAAAUGCGUAGAUAUUAGGUGGAACAUCAGUGGCGAAGGCGGCUUACUGGGCUUUAACUGACGCUGAGGCUCGAAAGCGUGGGGAGCAAACAGGAUUAGAUACCCUGGUAGUCCACGCCGUAAACGAUGAUUACUAGGUGUGGGGGGACUGACCCCUUCCGUGCCGCAGCAAACGCAAUAAGUAAUCCACCUGGGGAGUACGACCGCAAGGUUGAAACUCAAAGGAAUUGACGGGGGCCCGCACAAGCAGUGGAGUAUGUGGAUUAAUUCGAAGCAACGCGAAGAACCUUACCAGGUCUUGACAUCGUAUGCAUAGCUCAGAGAUGAGUGAAAUCUCUUCGGAGACAUAUAGACAGGUGGUGCAUGGUUGUCGUCAGCUCGUGUCGUGAGAUGUUGGGUUAAGUCCCGCAACGAGCGCAACCCUUACUGUUAGUUGCUACGCAAGAGCACUCUAGCAGGACUGCCGUUGACAAAACGGAGGAAGGUGGGGAUGACGUCAAAUCAUCAUGCCCCUUAUGACCUGGGCCUCACACGUACUACAAUGGCUGUCAACAGAGGGAAGCAAAGCCGCGAGGUGGAGCGAACCCCUAAAAGCAGUCUUAGUUCGGAUUGUAGGCUGCAACCCGCCUACAUGAAGUCGGAAUUGCUAGUAAUCGCAGAUCAGCAUGCUGCGGUGAAUACGUUCCCGGGCCU
rnacentral:rRNA from 1 species